GGCGGCAUAGCUCAGUUGGUAGAGCAUUCGGUUCAUACCCGGUAGUGUCAUCUGUUCGAGUCAGAUUGCCGCUACCA
rnacentral:tRNA from 1 species